rnacentral:rRNA from 1 species
GACGAACGCUGGCGGCGUGCUUAACACAUGCAAGUCGAACGGAAAGGCCCUGCUCUUGUUGGGUGCUCGAGUGGCGAACGGGUGUGUAACACGUGAGUAACCUGCCCUUGACUUUGGGAUAACUUCAGGAAACUGGGGCUAAUACCGGAUAGGAGCUCCUGCUGCCUGGUGGGGGUUGGAAAGUUUCGGCGGUUGGGGAUGGACGCGCGGCUUAUCAGCUUGUUGGUGGGGUAGUGGCUUACCAAGGCUUUGAAGGGUAGCCGGCCUGGGAGGGUAGCCGGGCACAUGGGGACUGAGAUACGGCCCAGUCUCCUACGUGGGGCAGCAGUGGGGAAUAUUGCACAAUGGGCGGAAGCCUGAUACAGCAACGCCGCGUGCGGGAUGACGGCCUUCGGGUUAUAAACCGCUUUCGCCUGUGACGAAGCGUGAGUGACGGUAAUGGGUAAAGAAGCACCGGCUAACUACGUG